GCCGGAGUGGCGGAAUUGGCAGACGCAAGGGACUUAAAAUCCCUCGGGGGCAACCCCGUACCGGUUCGAUCCCGGUCUUCGGUACCA
rnacentral:tRNA from 1 species